GAUGAACGCUAGCGGGAGGCCUAACACAUGCAAGCCGAGCGGUAUUUCUUCUUCGGGAGAGAGAGCGGCGUACGGGCGCGGAACACGUGUGCAACCUGCCUUCAUCUAGAGGAUAGCCUUUCGAAAGGAAGAUUAAUACUCAAUAAUAUAUUAAUUGGCAUCAAUAGAGAUGGAAAACUUCGGUGGAUAGAGAUGGGAACGCGCAAGAUUAGCAAGUUGGUGAGGUAACGGCUCACCAAGGCAAUGAUCUUUAGCGGGACUGAGAGGGUGAUCCCCCACACUGGUACUGAGACACGGACCAGACUCCUACGGGAGGCAGCAGUGAGGAAUAUUGGUCAAUGGGUGCUAGCCUGAACCAGCCGUCCCUCGUGAAGGAUUAAGGUCCUAUGGAUUGUAGACUUCUUUUGUAUAGGGAUAAACCUACCCUCGUGAGGGUAGCUGAAGGUACUAUACGAAUAAGCACCGGCUAACUCCGUGCCAGCCGCCGCGGUAA
rnacentral:rRNA from 1 species